GCGGCGGCUCGCUGGGCCUCUCUACGUCGACUCAGCCUGAAGGCGGGUGUCUCAGAUUGCCAGCACCAUGUGACGGGAGCCCCAGGGCAUGCUGCGUGCUCGCCAGGAGGAGCUGGGCAAGAUGGCCCAGUCGCUGGAGCAGCUGCUUGCGUGGCACCGCCGCUCUCACCCUGACGGAGUACAGCAACACAGUGGGGCGGCACCAGCAGGACACCCUGGACAACGCAGCCAAGACUGUUGCCCCGCUCGCCCGGCUCGUUGAGAGGCUUGCCCACCCCACCGGGCGUUGUUGUGAAGAUACCGCUGGGAGGAAGAAUAUCUCACAAUACUGG